AGGAAUGUAGCUCAGUGGUAAAGCACAUACUUUGCACAUGUGAGACCCUGGGUUCAAGCCCUGGCACACCCA
rnacentral:tRNA from 1 species